rnacentral:rRNA from 1 species
ACUACGGGUGGCAGCAGUGGGGAAUAUUGCGCAAUGGGCGAAAGCCUGACGCAGCGACGCCGCGUGAGGGAUGAAGGUCUUCGGAUCGGAAACCUCUGUCAGCAGGGAAGAACGGUCACUGUGCUAAUCAGCAGUGAAUUGACGGUACCGGCAAAGGAAGCACCGGCUAACGCCGUGCCAGCAGCCGCGGUAAUACGGAGGGGGCGAGCGUUAAUCGGAAUUACUGGGCGUAAAGCGCUCGUAGGCGGUAUGUCAAGUCACGGGUGAAAUCCCCGCGCUCAACGUGGGAACUGCCUUUGAAACUGUCAAACUGGAGUGUGUGAGAGGCUAGUGGAAUUCCCGGUGUAGACGU